ACGAACGGCUGGCGGCGCGCCUAACACAUGCAAGUCGAGCGAGAAGAAACCAGGGCUUCGGCCCUGGAGACAGCGGCGAACGGGUGAGAGUAGCACGGUGGAUAACCUGCCCUCGGCACCGGAAUAGGCCCGGGGGAAACCCGGAAUUAAUGCCGGAUAGCCCCACAUCCCCCCGGGGAACGUGGGAAGGAAAAGGUAGCUUCGGCCUCUGGCCGAGGAUGGGUCCCGCGGUGGAAUUAGCUUGUUGGUGGGGUAAAGGGGUAAAGGCCCACCAAGGGCGACGAUCCAUAGCUGGUCUGAGGAGGACGAUCAGCCACACUGGGACUGAGACACGGCCCAGACUCCUACGGGAGGCAGCAGUGGGGAAUCUUGCGCAAUGGGCGAAAGCCUGACGCAGCGACGCCGCGUGCGGGAAGAAGGCCUUCAGGGUUGUAAACCGCUUUCAGGAGGGACGAAGCCACUCGGGUGAAUAGCCCAGAGGGGUGACGGUACCUCCAGAAGAAGGCCCCGGCUAACUACGUGCCAGCAGCCGCGGGUUAAUACGUAGGGGGGCAAAGCGUUGUCCGGAUUCAUUGGGGCGUAAAGAGCGUGUAGGCGGCCAGGUAGGUCGGUUUGUGAAAAACUGGAGGCUCAACCUUCAGAGGUCGACCGAAACCAUCUGGCUAAGAGUCCGGGAGGAGAGGAGAGUGGAAUUCCUGGUGUAGCGGUUGAAAUGCCGCAGAUAUCAGGAAGAAACACCCCGUGGCGAAAAAGCGGCUCUCUGGAACGGUACUGACGCUGAGACGCGGAAAAAGCGUGGGGAGGCGAACAGGAUUAGAUACCCUGGUAGUCCACGCCGGUAAACGAUGGGCGCUAGGUGUGGGAGGGUGUCGACUCCUUCCGUGCCGCAGCUAACGCCUAAUUAAGCGCCCCGCCUGGGGGAGUACGGCCGCAAGGCUAAAAACUCAAAGGAAUUGACGGGGGCCCGCACAAGCAGCGGAGCAUGUGGUUUAAUUGGAUGCAAACGCCAAGAACCUUACCAAGGCUUGACAUGGUCGGGGAAAGCCGGAGAAAAUUCGGCCCUCCUUCGGGACUCGAUCACAGGUGGUGCAUGGCUGUCGUCAGCUCGUGUCGUGAGAUGUUGGGGUUAAGUCCCGCAACGAGCGCAACCCCUGUCCCAUGUUGCCAGCGAGUUAUGUCGGGACUCAUGGGAGACUGCCGGUGACAAAUCGGAGGAAGGUGGGGGAUGACGUCAAGUCAUCAUGCCCCUUAUGGUCUUGGGCUACACACGUGCUACAUUGGCCGGUACAAAGGGUUGCAAAAACCGUGAGGUUGAGCGAAUCCCAAAAAAGCCCGGUCCCGGUUCGGAUUGGAGGCUGCAACUCGCCUCCAUGAAGGCGGAGUUGCUAGUAAUCGCGGAUCAGCAACGCCGCGGUUGAAUACGUUUCCCGGGCCUUGUACACACCGCCCCGUCACACCACGAAAGUCGGCAACACCCGAAGCCGGUGGGCUAACCCCUCUGGGAGGCAGCCGUCGAAGGUGGGGGUCGAUGAUUGGGGUG
rnacentral:rRNA from 1 species